rnacentral:rRNA from 1 species
CUACGGAUGGUGCGAGCGUUGUUCGGAAUUACUGGGCGUAAAGGGCGCGUAGGCGGCGAUGUAAGUCAAAUGUGAAAGUCCUCGGCUUAACCGGGGAAGUGCAUCUGAAACUGCAUUGCUUGAGUAUGGGAGAGGAAAGUGGAAUUCCUGGUGUAGAGGUGAAAUUCGUAGAGAUCAGGAGGAAUACCGGUGGCGAAGGCGACUUUCUGGACCAAUACUGACGCUGAGGCGCGAAAGCGUGGGGAGCAAACAGGAUUAGAAACCCUAGUAGUCC